rnacentral:rRNA from 1 species
CCGGCGCACGGGUGAGUAAUGUCUGGGAAACUGCCCGAUGGAGGGGGAUAACUACUGGAAACGGUAGCUAAUACCGCAUAACGUCGCAAGACCAAGAGGGGACCUUCGGGCCUCUUGCCAUCGGAUGUGCCCAGAUGGGAUUAGCUAGUAGGUGGGGUAACGGCUCACCUAGGCGACGAUCCCUAGCUGGUCUGAGAGGAUGACCAGCCACACUGGAACUGAGACACGGUCCAG